UGUAAACUGAUUUUAGGAUGUAUGUAAUUCAGUUACUUAUAGUAUCUGUGUUUGAUUCAAAUUUGUGGUGUUGACGGAUAGACGAAUAGUCCAGGAUACGUUGUUUGCACAUCCACUGUUUGGUACUAUGCUUGAGUGAAACCCAAAUGUAUCCGUAGAACACCCAAAUUAGGAAGUGGGAAAGUAUUUGCAUGUGAACCUUUUCCCAAGGAAUAAUACGUAGAACCAAACUGAUUCGUUUGUUAUUUACUUUUGUUGCAACCAGUAGAAGGUAGGUAUGACUUAUAAAAGCGUUGUAAAAUUACCGUAUUUCAGGAGUGUUGCUCCAAUGGUGCAAAUCCCAUUUUUUUCUCUCUUUUUUUCAUGCAAUACCUCAAAUGAAAGUACAAUAUGUAGGUCCUAUCAUGAAACCAUAGAGACAAAGAGGCUUGCCAAAUUUUGGCCAUCUCCGAAUUUGGAAGCUGUUAUAACUAGCCACUGUAUAGGUCAUUCUUGAACUUCAUGUAAAGCUUUGUCAAUAAGCUAGACUAUUACUAGCUGUUCAAAAUCUCUAAGGUGCUACCAUUUGUUAAACUGAAAUUGCAGUUGGCACUGUAAAUAUACAUUGACGUGGAAUCUUGUUAGAGAGAUGGAGGAGUCGUCUCUGACUGUGGGCACAAAGGAGGAGGACAACAACAUUAAUGCGGAAACAGGGUACAAUAGCAAUAACAUCAAGAAGGCAAGGUUGCAUUCGGCGCUGGCCACCCUUCUCGAUGAUCCUAUCCUCGCAGACGUGCCCAAGAAGCCAGCACUAUCGGAUGUAGACACUCUCAUCAGCUUGGAACUCGGCAGCGCCAUGCGCCUCACCAUCCUAAAAUUAGACGGCACUUCCUUAGAUGUGGUGGUGAUGAACUCUUCCACUGUAAAGGAUUUGAAACUUGCAAUAAAGAAGAAGAUUAAUGACAUGGAGCAGUCCAAGAUGGGUCACCGUCAAAUUUCUUGGAAGCAUGUCUGGUCGAACUUUUGCCUUUCCCACCAUAAUGAGAAGUUACUAGAUGACAACUCUGCCUUGCAGGAGUAUGGUAUACGUAACAAUUCUCAGGUGCAAUUUUUCCCUUACGUCAUGUCAAGGGCUUCUCGGAGACAUUCAAGGAGAAGAAAACACCGUUUCUUUCAUGGUCUCAACAAACGAGGAUAAGAACCGGCUUUUGGUUUGCUUCAUGAUGCUGCAUGCUUUACAAUAACUAUGUAGGGCUUCUUGGAGACAUUCAAGGAGAAGAGAACACCAUGUCUUUCAUGGUCUCAAAGAUCUCCCAGAUGCCAGAUGUGGAGUUAGAUAAGCUUUUCAGGUUCCUUAUAUACAAGAAUCGUUAAAUCUUCACAUAAUUGCUUGAUAGAGCACUUUUUCUAACAUCCAGCGAGUCCUAUGAAAAUAGUUAGUUCUCUUAUAUCGAAUUUGGAAGCAAAAUGCUAUGUGUGAAGCAGAAUGUAAGUAUAGUAGAUGACAUGGUUUACAUUAUCUUGAGCUUGGAUAUCUAUUAGUAACUUGCAAAUUUGGAAGCUCUGUGUGAAGCAGAAUGAAAAUCGUAUAUGACAUUGCUUACAUUAUCUUGCGCUUG